AUUGAACGCUGGCGGCAGGCCUAACACAUGCAAGUCGAGCGAGCGGCGGACGGGUGAGUAAUGUAUGGGGACUGCCCGUUGUAGGGGGAUAACUCCUGGAAACGGUAGCUAUUACCCCCUACUCUCGGAUUACCCAGAUGGGAUUAGCUAGUAGGUGGGGUAAUGGCUCACCUAGGCGACGAUCCCUAGCUGGUCUGAGAGGAUGAUCAGCCACACUGGGACUGAGACACGGCCCAGACUCCUACGGAGGCAGCAGUGGGGAAUAUUGCACAAUGGGCGCAAGCCUGAUGCAGCCAUGCCGCGUGUGUGAAGAAGGCCUUAGGGUUGUAAAGUACUUUCAGUGGGGAGGCGUUACCGACAGAAGAAGCACCGGCUAACUCCGUGCCAGCAGCCGCGGUAAUAC
rnacentral:rRNA from 1 species